UGAGCGGCUGUUGGGGGUGAAAUCUGGUGAGCGGCUAUUGUAAAUUUGUUUGGUCACCAGUAACUCCGACAACUGCACCACCUCCAAACACAACCACCCCCUUUCCUCCGCAACUCCUCUCGCGGCUGAAAGAAGUUCGGCUAGCCAAACCACAAGCCCUACCCCCAUAACUCCAUCUAAGGUAGAAACUCGGUCGGUUGGGAUGCUAGCACCCCAAUUCCCACAACUCCAUCUACAACAGAAACUCAAUCAGCUCCAUCUACAAUUGAAACUCAACAGAGAGAAGGUGGAAGAAGAGAGGAGUGAGAUGCGGAGACGAGAUGAAAUGAGAGAGGGAUAAAUUGGGGCUAAUGUUAAACAUAUUUGAUUUAAAGGAGGUGUGGGAUUUUUCGCAACUUUGAAAUAACGUUGUGAAAG
rnacentral:lncRNA from 1 species